GGGUUGUGAGGUUAAGCGACUAAGCGUACACGGUGGAUGCCCUGGCAGUCAGAGGCGAUGAAGGACGUGCUAAUCUGCGAUAAGCGUCGGUAAGGUGAUAUGAACCGUUAUAACCGGCGAUUUCCGAAUGGGGAAACCCAGUGUGAUUCGUCACACUAUCAUUAACUGAAUCCAUAGGUUAAUGAGGCGAACCGGGGGAACUGAAACAUCUAAGUACCCCGAGGAAAAGAAAUCAACCGAGAUUCCCCCAGUAGCGGCGAGCGAACGGGGAGCAGUCCAGAGCCUGAAUCAGUGUGUGUGUUAGUGGAAGCGUCUGGAAAGGCGCGCGAUACAGGGUGACAGCCCCGUACACAAAAAUGCACAUACUGUGAGCUCGAUGAGUAGGGCGGGACACGUGGUAUCCUGUCUGAAUAUGGGGGGACCAUCCUCCAAGGCUAAAUACUCCUGACUGACCGAUAGUGAACCAGUACCGUGAGGGAAAGGCGAAAAGAACCCCGGCGAGGGGAGUGAAAAAGAACCUGAAACCGUGUACGUACAAGCAGUGGGAGCACAGAGCAAUC
rnacentral:rRNA from 1 species